rnacentral:rRNA from 1 species
UCGAGAAUCUUCGGCAAUGAGCGCAAGCUUGACCGAGCGACGCCGCGUGCGGGAUGAAGGCCUUCGGGUUGUAAACCGCGAAAGUAGGGAGACCUAUCUUCAGUAAGGACGGGCUAAGUUCGUGCCAGCAGCCGCGGUAAUACGAACCGUCCAAACGUUAUUCGGAUUUAUUGGGCUUAAAGGGUAUGUAGGCGGCCCUUCAAGUCGGGUGUGAAAGCCCUCGGCUCAACCGAGGAACUGCGCCGAUACUGUAGGGCUUGAGGGAGACAGAGGUAAGCGGAACUGAUGGUGGAGCGGUGAAAUGCGUUGAUAUCAUCAGGAACACCAGUGGCGAAAGCGGCUUACUGGGUCUCUUCUGACGCUGAGAUACGAAAGCUAGGGGAGCGAACGGGAUUAGAUACCCCAGUAGU